rnacentral:lncRNA from 1 species
CUUAGGUAGUUUGGCGAUCUUCUCCUGUAAAUAAUCAAUAGUCCCUGAACAGCACUUGUAAAUUUGAGCGUAGAAAACUGGGUGAGAUGUUUUUAUGGUGAAAGAAGCUUCUCCUUGAAGUCCCUGCAGAAGCCCCAGGGGCAGAGUGACAUGGACAGGUUUUGGGGAUGUGGGCUGAAUGAUGCCAUUAUGGGGCUGCUGGAAUCUGGGGUGCCAGAGCUGUUGGUUGGAAAGCCCCCGGGUAUGAGGGCAAUGUGCCACUUUGACGACAGCCUCUGCCUCCAACUUUUUUGGGCCUGAACAGUGCGGAGGAUGAAAACUUCUCACCCAGCUUUCUACAUUCAAGUUUACAAGUGCUGCUCAGGACCCACUGAUUAUUUCCAGGGGAAGAUCACCAAACCGCCUAAGGCCGAGACUCCCAGGAUAGCGCAGCAUGCCCCGGAGUCCCCCAGCUCGAUUUGCUCAGAACUCAGAAAGAAAACAGCCCACACUCCUUGAACUUCAGGCACUGAUGGAGGCAUUUUCCAAAGAACAGUGACAAGGACGGCCAGCACCUCUCUUGCAUUCCUCAGUCUGACUCAAGCUGCUCUUCCACCCUCCUCCCCAGCUGGAGCUGAGGCUGAAGGCAGUUGAGGGCCACCAGGGAGAAGAGCUGGGUCAGGGCCGUGACUUGCCAGCAAGCAUGAGGCCAAGCAGAUGUGCCGGAACAGCUGUGGUGACAGAGCUGUGGCCAACUGCUCCCUGGGCCGAGGGUGAAGGAAGCUGUGCUCCCACUGGUGCUAGGGAAGGCUGCUGCAGGGCUGGAGGCCUGGGUGCUGGACUGCUGGGGCAGGCUGCCUGCUGUACCCCCAAGCUGCAGUCAGGGCUCGCCCUGAGGCCCUGAGGUGGAGAGAGAGCAGCUGUCUCGUACACACCCAUGUGCACAAGUGCAGGCACACACACACACACACACACACACACAAAAGACGUUCUCACUUCAUCCCCGAAUUCUCCCUCCUACACACAAAGCUAGUUCCCAGUUCUCCAGUCCCCCUCCAUCCCUCUCCACUUCUGUAGUCUCUGCUGGGCUGCACUGGGGAUCUGGUCCCAAUUCCCCUCUCUUCCCUUGCUGCCCCUGUAACAAAGGGCUGGCCAUGUGACAUGAUCUCCUCAGGCUUCAGAGAAGUGAUUUUACCCUGAGCUACACAGGCAGGAAGACCACCAGCCUGGAAGGGCCCUUCAGCCACUUUCCCAACAAACAGCAAAUCUCCGCCGAUUGAACUCUGACUGAGGCAAUGGGGGCAUGCCAGGCAACAAGGUGGAGGUUUGCUACCGUGGGAGCAGGGAGAGCGUGGAACACAGACGCUCUGGGUGUUGAAGAGGAGGCUUCACCCUUAAAUCCACACCAACAGCCCCCUUCACUUCCCCCGGUGAAGAACGAAGGACCCUGUGGGAUUUCUACUUCAAAUCUCUCAUUUAUUCCGACAUCCACUCGGUUAUGACUCCAAGUUAUCAAAGAUGCAAGACAAGAAGUCUAGAGCAGGAGUGGUGAAGUGGAGGUGGAGAAAGACGGCGGAGAGGGCUGUGUUCCUGGCCCCUCCUUCUCUUCCAAUUUAGGGCACCGUUUGAAAAGUGUACAAGUAGUGUCCCUUAGCACAGACUAGACAGCAGAAAAGGACAGUGCAGUUGAGUGGGGGAAGCUUCCUUUUCCACAGGGUGGGGCCCUGCGGCUGCAGCGGGCAGGCAGGCAAUCUCGAGCCUGGUUGGAGACCGUGCCCUGAGCAGCGUGGGCUAUGUGGGGAAGAGCUGGGGCCCACCAUCUCUCCAGCACCCCAAACCCAGAUUCUGAUUUGUGGGGCUAGCAGGGCUUAGCUAGGAAAGCGGUAGGAGGGAGGGGAUUGCACAGGACGCUUGUACUCAGGGACCCCAUCAAUCAGGGGCAAGAAGUGGGUGAUGGUUAACUGGGUCUUGAUUUUUACAAAGGCAGGACGUACGAAUGAUGUUAUUUCUGGCAAGGAGGACACGGCUGCUGUGGUUGAUUGGCUGUGGAAUUCCAGGGGAGCAAGGCACUAGGAAGUGGGGAACGCUGCCAGGCCCAGCAGCUCAUCAGGAGCUUGCACUUGGCCCAGUUAGGGCUGGCCGUGGGACGGGCUUGUUGAAGCUGCUGCCGCCAUAAGCUGCCCCUCUGCACCAGGAGACAGAUCCCAUUACCCCACCUACAGCUGCUUCCUGGUACAAGAGAAGAGUUACCAUUUGAAAUGACUCCACAGGAGAGUCUGACAAACAUGUUUGCUUUUCACUGACAAUUAAAAUUGUUUUGCUGCUAA